AGCGAACGCUGGCGGCGUGCUUAACACAUGCAAGUCGAACGUGAAAAGGGGCAACCCUGAGUAAAGUGGCGUACGGGUGAGUAACGCGUAGGUAAUCUACCGAAGAGUCCGGAAUAACCUGCCGAAAGGCGGGCUAAUACUGGAUAGAGCGACGGGAUCCGUAAUUGGGUCUUUCGGGAAAGGGAGGCAGCAAUGCCCUUCGCUCUUCGAUGAGCCUGCGUCUCAUUAGCUAGUUGGAGGGUAACGGACCUACCAAGGCGAUGAUGGGUAGCUGGUCUGAGAGGAUGAUCAGCCACACUGGAACUGAAACACGGUCCAGACUCCUACGGAGGC
rnacentral:rRNA from 1 species